ACACCCUCUGAGUCACUGUGAUGACUGGCUGAGAUAACCUGGCGAGAGUCUGGUGGGGGGAGGACUGCGUGACGGUCACCACCCUCGGACACUGUGCCACGGUGAUCAUCGGGCUCUCAUUGGUGCCAGCCCAGAAGUGAUAAGACACCCCAAGAAGAGCUACAGUAAGCUGAGGAGCCAGGACAGACCUGACAGACUAGAUGUGGUGACCCAAGGAACAAGUGCAACCAGAGGCGGCGGCUGAGCAGGCUGGUGCUUAAGAAGAAGGUUCUGAAGGAGAGAGUGUCGCUCACCUGCUUGGCUCCUCUGGCUGUGAUCCCGUUAGCUCAGGACCAGGGCAAAGAGAGCGCUUCAAACACACUGCUCCAGCCUUGAAAUGGAUGUCGCCCUUCUCCCCACACCCACUGUCAUCUCCUAGAAACCAAGGUCUGAGUGUGACAGCACAGCAGCCUCAGCCAUGCACAUUUCCAUGUGUGAAUACGCACAUCUGUUUCCACUCUGCUCCCGGGGGCGGUGCUGGCUGAGGGCUGCCGUCUGAGCAGGAGCACCUUUGUCUGAUGCAUGGGAACUCCAUUCACCUGUCCAGCUCUGUUUGCAUGCACUCAUGCCCCCAGGCUUUCUCCCAGGACUCCUGAGCAGACCCUGACAGAGAUGCAUGUAGGGCCAGUGUACUUUAGAUCUCCAGUGUGGCACAGGCGACCAUGAGUGCACAGAUGACACCUGUGUCAAGUUGAAGAGGAGCCCUCUCCUGCCCCAGGAGCAGCCACCAGGUUCCAGAUGCUAGCAUGAUGCCGACCAGAUUUCCCUGGACAGACGACCACACCAAUAUGUCCUGGAGCUCUGCUUCCCCAGAGCCCCACCCUACUAGGGAAAAAGAGAGGCAGGCUGGGAGUAUGGAUCGACCAGUCAACGCCCAUGUUCAGUAGGGAAGCAAUUACAGAAGCCAGACCUUCCUCAUUCUGCAUCCCACAAUGACCUUGGGUCCAUACUCCUAGAGGGAUAAAGAAUAGGAAAGCUAUCAGGGGAAGGGAUGGGAUACGGAGAGCUGGUGGUAGGAAUUGUGUAGAGUUGCACCCCUCUUAUCCUAUAGUUUUCUCAAUGUUUUCUGUUUAUAAAUUUAAAAAUGA